rnacentral:rRNA from 1 species
UACAGAGGACUGCAAGCGUUUAUUCGGAGUUCAGCUGGGCGUAAAGGGUGCGCAGGCGGCCAAGUGUGUGAGGCGUGAAAUCCCUGGGCUCAACCCAGGAACUGCAUCGGAAACUGACAGGCUAGAGGUCCGGGAGAGGGUAGCGGAAUUCCUGGUGUAGAGGUGAAAUUCGUAGAUAUCAGGAGGAACACCAGUGGCGAAGGCGGCUCACUGGCCCGAUACUGACGCUGAGGCAC